rnacentral:rRNA from 1 species
AUUGAACGCUGGCGGCAUGCCUUACACAUGCAAGUCGAACGGCAGCACGGGAGCUUGCUCCUGGUGGCGAGUGGCGAACGGGUGAGUAAUACAUCGGAACGUACCCAGUAGUGGGGGAUAACGCACCGAAAGGUGCGCUAAUACCGCAUACGACCUACGGGUGAAAGCGGGGGACCGUAAGGCCUCGCGCUAUUGGAGCGGCCGAUGUCUGAUUAGCUAGUUGGUGAGGUAAAGGCUCACCAAGGCUUCGAUCAGUAGCUGGUCUGAGAGGACGAUCAGCCACACUGGGACUGAGACAAGGCCCAGACUCCUACGGGAGGCAGCAGUGGGGAAUUUUGGACAAUGGGCGAAAGCCUGAUCCAGCAAUGCCGCGUGUGCGAGGAAGGCCUUCGGGUUGUAAAGCACUUUUGUCAGGGAAGAAAUCUUUUAGGCUAAUACCCUGGAAGGAUGACGGUACCUGAAGAAUAAGCACCGGCUAACUACGUGCCAGCCGCCGCAGUAA